rnacentral:misc_RNA from 1 species
UUUUUAGGUCUCCAUUUGUUUUAUCAUAUGGAGGGGUCAUUAUUUUCUUGUAAACCAAGACUUGAAUAUCAAAAUUUCAGUUCUAAGUUUGGAAAAUGGCAGAGUUAUUACUGGCUUGUGUUUAGAGAAGACAAACAAGGGUAGAAGUUCUUAUGAAGAAAAUUUCUUGUCUUUGCAUUUUAACCCUACCUCCUUUGUAGGUUCAAAUCUUGGAUAGCAACUUGGUUGUGUUCUUUUAUGGUAUAUGGAUGUUGAAAAGACCUAACCUGAUAAGUAUAAGAAAACAUGUGGCUGUGUGUGAUAGUGGUGUUUGCAUGUAAGGAUUGAUUAUAUUCUUGAGUUUUAUGAGUUGUUGGUUGUUUGAAUGAAGGGGAGUCAAAUGGAACUAAUUGAUCAGAGUUAUUAUCUUCACUUACUAGUCUAAUGGGCGUGUACUUGGUUUAAAUGCAGGAUGCUGUGGAGU